rnacentral:rRNA from 1 species
GACGAACGCUGGCGGCGUGCCUAAUACAUGCAAGUAGAACGCUGAAGGAGGAGCUUGCUUCUCCGGAUGAGUUGCGAACGGGUGAGUAACGCGUAGGUAACCUGCCUGGUAGCGGGGGAUAACUAUUGGAAACGAUAGCUAAUACCGCAUAAGAGUAGAUGUUGCAUGACAUUUGCUUAAAAGGUGCAAUUGCAUCACUACCAGAUGGACCUGCGUUGUAUUAGCUAGUUGGUGGGGUAACGGCUUACCAAGGCGACGAUACAUAGCCGACCUGAGAGGGUGAUCGGCCACACUGGGACUGAGACACGGCCCAGACUCCUACGGGAGGCAGCAGUAGGGAAUCUUCGGCAAUGGACGGAAGUCUGACCGAGCAACGCCGCGUGAGUGAAGAAGGUUUUCGGAUCGUAAAGCUCUGUUGUAAGAGAAGAACGAGUGUGGGAGUGGAAAGUUCACACUGUGACGGUAUCUUACCAGAAAGGGACGGCUAACUACGUG